rnacentral:tRNA from 1 species
GGCCUCGUAGCUCAGGUGGCUAGGGCUUUGGUUGUACUAACGCCUUUCUCUUGCUGCUGUGGGUUCGAAUCCCACCGGGGUCG